rnacentral:rRNA from 1 species
UACGGGAGGCAGCAGUGAGGAAUAUUGGUCAAUGGGCGGAAGCCUGAACCAGCCAUGCCGCGUGUGGGAAGAAGGCCCUAUGGGUUGUAAACCACUUUUAGCCGGGAGUAAUAAGGGGCGUGCGCGCCCCGAUGAGAGUACCGGCGGAAUAAGCAUCGGCUAACUCCGUGCCAGCAGCCGCGGUAAU